rnacentral:tRNA from 1 species
AGCUUUAUAUUCAUUAUAAAUGAUGUUAGACUGCAAUUCUAAAGGAGUAUAAAAUUAAAUACUAAAGCUU